rnacentral:lncRNA from 1 species
GAUCAAACACCUGAGACCAGAGAAGAGCACUGAGAGCCAUUGGUGAAGGACUUUCUGGAGAGAUGGCCUGCCCUUCAGGUCCAAUCACAGGUCUGUGCUGAGUUCCACAGGAUCACCAAUGUAAAUUUACGGAACCAGUUUUAUUCUGAACUAGAUCGGCACAUUCCACAGCUCAUAGAACUUUACAGACAGAAGGCAGCUCGUACUGGAAGGGUGGCAGGAGCACUGUGAGACAUCCUACAGUAUUAUGAAACUGAGGUGAGUUGAAAAAAAGCUAAAAUGGACUUUGUCUAAAUUUUAUCCACAUGGAACAGCUGGCUCCCAGGAUUGUCAGCAUUUACUACCACUUCAUUACUAUAUACUACUACUACACAAGGGGCAGUCCUUCACUUUUAACUUUAAAUCAAUUAGUUAUCCUGUAACAUGUACAUAUUUAGUACAGUAAGUCAUACUUUGUCGGCAGCAAAGGGCCCCUGUUUUUUUUCUCAUGUGUCUUUGUUUAUCCACCCAGGAUGUGCAGGAUAUCAACAUGAAACGCACUGUGGCCCUUCGUGCUCUCUCAGUAUACCUGCGGGAAGAGGACACACAGUUUUUCAAGACUUGGAACACUGAGGAAUCAGAGGAGCCAGACAUCGGGGACACACCCAUUGGUAUUGUCACGAUGAUCAGAGAAAGAAGUGCAUCUCCCGUUCACUUCAGUCCCGUAUCCACAGCCAUUGUGGUGGAAGAUGAAUUCAUCAUGAGGGACAUUGCCACGUUUGCCGAUGCAUAUGUGUUACUGUUUGGGCUGGUGUAUGUGUUACAUCUCGACUACCCAAAGAAGCUCGUUGGCACCUUCACUUCAUACAGAAGGUUCUAAUGGGGUUGGAUGACGGUGCACCCCUGAAACCUGCUCUGCUCUCUUUGAAAAAUGACCUGCUUACAGUGUAGACGUUACCUGUAUGAUGUAGCAUGUUUGUUGUUACAUUGAUUUAAGAUGUGCCUGUUGUCCUCCUGUUUCGAAUGGUCCUUCUUUCCCUCCUUUCUCCCCUCUUCCACCAUCAUUUCCUUUCCUUCUUCCUUCCUAGACCCAAUCUGUUCCCUUUGCUUUCUUUCUUUUUUCUUUGCUCCCUCCCUUCUUUCCCUACAUCUUUUCUUCUUCUUCCUUCCUUGACCCAAUCUGUUUACUUUGCCCUGACUUCUUUCCUUCCUUUCUCCCUUCUUUCCCUACAUUCUUCUUCCUGCCAUGAUCUAAUCUGUUCCCUUCCUCCAUCUUUCUUUCCUUCCUUUCUUGACCCAGGAGGACAACAAGAGGGAUAUUAAACAGUUUUUUUUCUGCUUAUGCAGAUAUACACUAACUUCCAAAAAUGCACCAGGGUGAGUGCAGGACAAAAAUAAUGCACCAAAAGGGUGUGUCUGAUUCGUUUACCUGGAGAAACAGAGUUUUUGUUGGCCUCUCUUUUCAAAAGGCAUAGAUUUUAAAUCUAUACAUUUCCUUUUUGGUUAUUUAUUUGAUUUAUUUUUUAUUCAUGUGCAAUGACUUGAUAUCUGAUAUCCUGAUAUUUACUUUUUGGUUAUUUAUUUAAUUUAUUUUUUAUUCAUUUCAAAUUAUUUAUUUCCUUGAAUGGCCAUAGAUGUAAAAAAAACUUGAAGAUGCUGUUUUGAAAGGCCAUUACUUUACACUGAGCACAAGUUCCCAAUGCUUUUAUACAAACAUUUAAACAUUUGCAGUGAUUUAUACAUAACCAUACAAAUCUGUUUUUAUAUAAUGUAUGUGUGGAUGUAUAUGUUGACGGUUCAUGAUAUGCAAGGUAUCCUUCAACCAAAUGGGGUGUGUUUACAUUUUCAGAUUGUGCAUUUGUUGGCCUGGUUUUACUGGCCUGGUUUUACAAGUUGGAUGUCCAUGGUUAACAUACAGAUGUGUGUAUGUGGUGUUUGUAUACUUACAGCUCUGUUGCUGUGACCAAAGUGGUUUGGAGAAAAAGAAUAAAAUCUGAAUAAAAACAUUGAAAUAUUCUACAUUUUUGUGUGA